rnacentral:rRNA from 1 species
GCGGCGUGCCUAAUACAUGCAAGUCAACGGCUUUCUAUGGAAGCUUGCUUCCACUGAGAAGAUAGUGGCAACGGGUGAGUAACACGUGGGUAACCUGCCCAUAAGAGGGGGAUAACAUCCGGAAACGGGUGCUAAUACCGCAUAGUUUUCUUGGUCGCAUGAUCGGGAAAGGAAAGACGGCCUUUGUGCUGUCGCUUAUGGAUGGACCCGCGGCGUAUUAGUUAGUUGGUGAGGUAACGGCUCACCAAGACGAUGAUACGUAGCCGACCUGAGAGGGUGAUCGGCCACAUUGGGACUGAGACACGGCCCAAACUCCUACGGGAGGCAGCAGUAGGGAAUCUUCCGCAAUGGACGAAAGUCUGACGGAGCAACGCCGCGUGAGUGAAAGAAGGUUUUCGGAUCGUAAAACUCUGUUGUCAGAGAAGAACAAGUUGGAGAGUAACUGCUCCAGCCUUGACGGUAUCUGACCAGAAAGCCACGGCUAACUACGUGCCAGCCGCCGC